rnacentral:rRNA from 1 species
GGCGGACGGGUGAGUAACACGUAGGUAACCAACCCUCAAGCGGGGGACAACCCAGGGAAACUUGGGCUAAUACCGCAUAAGCUCACGGACUGGGAUGUCUGUGGGAAAAGGAGCAAUCCACUUGAGGCUGGGCCUGCGGCCUAUCAGGUAGUUGGCGGGGUAAUGGCCCACCAAGCCUAAGACGGGUAGCCGGACUGAGAGGUUGAACGGCCACACUGGAACUGAGACACGGUCCAGACUCCUACGGGAGGCAGCAGU